rnacentral:rRNA from 1 species
GAUCCCGAAAGGAGGAGGCAAUCCCCAAACCUUACCUCAGUUAUGAUUGAGGGCUGAAACUCGCCCUCAUGAAUAUGGAAUCCCUAGUAACCGCGUGUCACUAUCGCGCGGUGAAUACGUCCCUGCUCCUUGCACACACCGCCCGUCGCUUCAUCGAAGUUGGUUCUUGGCGAGGUGGUGCCUAAUUGGCGCUAUCGAACCUGGGGUCAGCAACGAGGGAGAAGUCGUAACAAGGUAGCCGUA